GACGAACGCUGGCGGCGUGCCUAAUACAUGCAAGUAGAACGCAGUUGCGAACGGGUGAGUAACGGGUAGGUAACAUGCCUUAUAGCGGGGGAAAAAGAUUGGAAAAGAUAGCUAAUACAGAAAACUGUGAGAUGGACAUGCGGUGUAUUAGCAAGUUGGUGAGGUAAAGGCUCACCAAGGCGAAGAUACAGAGCCGACCUGAGAGGGUGAUCGGCGUCACUGGAACUGGGACACGGCCCAGACUCCUACGGGAGGCAGCAGUAGCGAAUCUUCGGCAAUGGACGGAAGUCUGACCGAGCAACGCCGCGUUAGUGAAGAAGGUUUUCGGAUCGUAAUGCUCUGUUUUUAUUGAAGCGGUACCUAACCAGAAAGGGACGGCUAACUACGUGCCAGCAGCCGCGGUAAUAC
rnacentral:rRNA from 1 species